rnacentral:rRNA from 1 species
UAUUAAUGUACCGGCUCUCGUUAGAUCACCGAAGUUAAGCAUCAUUGGGCGCGGUCAGUACUUGGGUGGGUGACCACCUGGGAACACUGCGUGCCGUU